rnacentral:rRNA from 1 species
GUGAGGAAUAUUGGUCAAUGGGCGAGAGCCUGAACCAGCCAAGUCGCGUGAAGGAUGAAGGUUUUAUGAAUUGUAAACUUCUUUUGCAGGGGAAUAAAGUACGGUACGUGUACCGUUUUGUAUGUACUCUUCGCAUAAGGAUCGGCUAACUCCGUGCCAGCAGCCGCGGUAAUACGGAGGAUCCAAGCGUUAUCCGGAUUUAGUGUGUUUAAAGGGUGCGCAGGCGGGUUGAUAAGUCAGCGGUGAAAGUGUGCAGCUUAACUGUAAAAUUGCCGUUGAAACUGUCGAGCUUGAGUGCAAAUGAGGUAAGCGGAAUGUGUUGUGUAGCGGUGAAAUGCUUAGAUAUAACACAGAACACCGAUUGCGAAGGCAGCUUACUGGGAUGCAACUGACGCUCAUGCACGAAAGCGUGGGGAUCAAACAGGAUUAGAUACCCGAGUAGUCC